UACGUAGGGUGCAAGCAUUAUCCGGAGUGACUGGGCGUAAAGAGUUGCGUAGGUGGUUUGUUAAGUGAGUAGUGAAAGCUAGCGGCUCAACCGUAUAGAUUAUUAUUCAAACUGGCAAACUCGAGAAUGGUAGAGGUCACUGGAAUUUCUUGUGUAGGAGUGAAAUCCGUAGAUAUAAGAAGGAACACCAAUGGCGUAGGCAGGUGACUGGACCAUUUCUGACACUGAGGCACGAAAGCGUGGGGAGCGAACGGG
rnacentral:rRNA from 1 species